rnacentral:rRNA from 1 species
AUUUUGUACAAUGGGCGAAUGCCUGAUCCAGCAAAGCAGCGUGCAGGAUGAAGGCNUUNNGGUUGNANACUACUUUUGUACGGNNNNNAUAGCUUUUGGAUAAUACCCUCGAGACAUUAUGGUACGGUAGGAAUAAGCACCGGCUAACUACAUGCCAGCAGCCGCGGUAAUACGUAGGGUGCAAGCGUUAAUCGGAAUUACUGGGCGUAAAGCGUGCGCAGGCGGUUUUGUAAGACAGAGGUGAAAUCCCCGGGCUCAACCUGGGAACUGCCUUUGUGACUGCAAGGCUAGAGUACGGCAGAGGGGGGUGGAAUUCCGCGUGUAGCAGUGAAAUGCGUAGAUAUGCGGAGGAACACCGAUGGCGAAGGCAACCCCCUGGGCCUGUUCUGACGCUCAUGCACGAAAGCGUGGGGAGCAAACAG